UACGAAGGGGGCUAGCGUUGUUCGGAAUUACUGGGCGUAAAGCGCGCGUAGGCGGUUUUGCAAGCCAGAGGUGAAAUGCCUGAGCUCAACUUAGGAAUUGCCUUUGGGACUGCGAGGCUUUGAGGACGGGAGAGGUGAGUGGAAUUCCCAGUGUAGAGGUGAAAUUCGUAGAUAUUCGCAAGAACACCAGUGGCGAAGGCGGCUCACUGGCCCGAUACUGACGCUGAGGCACGAAAGCGUGGGGAGCAAACAGG
rnacentral:rRNA from 1 species